rnacentral:rRNA from 1 species
GUAGGUGGCAAGCGUUGUCCGGAAUUAUUGGGCGUAAAGCGCGCGCAGGCGGUCCUUUAAGUCUGAUGUGAAAGCCCACGGCUCAACCGUGGAGGGUCAUUGGAAACUGGGGGACUUGAGUACAGAAGAGGAAGGCGGAAUUCCAAGUGUAGCGGUGAAAUGCGUAGAGAUUUGGAGGAACACCAGUGGCGAAGGCGGCUUUCUGGUCUGUAACUGACGCUGAGGCGCGAAAGCGUGGGGAGCAAACAGGAUUAGAUACCCUGGUAGUCCACGCCGUAAACGAUGAGUGCUAAGUGUUAGGGGGUUUCCCGCCCCCUUAGUGCUGCAGCUAACGCAUUAAGCACUCCGCCUGGGGAGUACGGCCGCAAGGCUG